rnacentral:rRNA from 1 species
AAGCGACGUUCAACCUCAAAAGAAGCAGAGGGGGCUUAGUGGUGGGGUGACUGCGUACCUUUUGUAUAAUGGGUCAGCGACUUAUAUUCUGUAGCAAGGUUAACCGUAUAGGGGAGCCGGAGGGAAACCGAGUCUUAACCGGGCGUUAAGUUGCAGGGUAUAGACCCGAAACCCGGUGAUCUAGCCAUGGGCAGGUUGAAGGUUGGGUAACACUAACUGGAGGACCGAACCGACUAAUGUUGAAAAAUUAGCGGAUGACCUGUGGCUGGGGGUGAAAGGCCAAUCAAACCGGGAGAUAGCUGGUUCUCCCCGAAAGCUAUUUAGGUAGCGCCUCGUGAAUUCAUCUCCGGGGGUAGAGCACUGUUUCGGCUAGGGGGCCAUCCCGGCUUACCAACCCGAUGCAAACUGCGAAUACCGGAGAAUGUUAUCACGGGAGACACACGGCGGGUGCUAACGUCCGUCGUGAAGAGGGAAACAACCCAGACCGCCAGCUAAGGUCCCAAAGUCAUGGUUAAGUGGGAAACGAUGUGGGAAGGCCCAGACAGCCAGGAUGUUGGCUUAGAAGCAGCCAUCAUUUAAAGAAAGCGUAAUAGCUCACUGGUCGAGUCGGCCUGCGCGGAAGAUGUAACGGGGCUAAACCAUGCACCGAAGCUGCGGCAGCGACACUGUGUGUUGUUGGGUAGGGGAGCGUUCUGUAAGCCUGU